GCUCCAGUGGCACAAUGGGUCAGUGCACAGUACUUAUAUGACAGUACUUGUAGGAAACAUGCUGAGGCUGUGAGUUCAAACCUCACCUGGAGCA
rnacentral:tRNA from 1 species